rnacentral:rRNA from 1 species
AACGAACGCUGGCGGCAGGCCUAACACAUGCAAGUCGAACGCCCCGCAAGGGGAGUGGCAGACGGGUGAGUAACGCGUGGGAACAUACCCUUUCCUGCGGAAUAGCUCUGGGAAACUGGAAUUAAUACCGUAUACGCCCUACGGGGGAAAGAUUUAUCGGGGAAGGAUUGGCCCGCGUUGGAUUAGCUAGUUGGUGGGGUAAAGGCCUACCAAGGCGACGAUCCAUAGCUGGUCUGAGAGGAUGAUCAGCCACAUUGGGACUGAGACACGGCCCAAACUCCUACGGGAGGCAGCAGUGGGGAAUAUUGGACAAUGGGCGCAAGCCUGAUCUAGCCAUGCCGCGUGAGUGAUGAAGGCCUUAGGGUUGUAAAGCUCUUUCACCGAUGAAGAUAAUGACGGUAGUCGGAGAAGAAGCCCCGGCUAACUUCGUGCCAGCCGCCGCAGUAA